GAUGAACGCUGGCGGCGUGCCUAAUACAUGCAAGUCGAGCGAACAGACGAGGAGCUUGCUCCUCUGACGUUAGCGGCGGACGGGUGAGUAACACGUGGAUAACCUACCUAUAAGACUGGGAUAACUUCGGGAAACCGGAGCUAAUACCGGAUAAUAUAUUGAACCGCAUGGUUCAAUAGUGAAAGACGGUUUUGCUGUCACUUAUAGAUGGAUCCGCGCCGCAUUAGCUAGUUGGUAAGGUAACGGCUUACCAAGGCAACGAUGCGUAGCCGACCUGAGAGGGUGAUUCGCCACCCUGGAACUGAGACACGGUCCAGACUCCUACGGGAGGCAGCAGUAGGGAAUCUUCCGCAAUGGGCGGAAGCCUGACGGAGCAACGCCGCGUUAGUGAUGAAGGGCUUCGGAUCGUAAAACUCUGUUAUUAGGGAAGAACAAAUGUGUAAGUAACUAUGCACGUCUUGACGGUACCUAAUCAGAAAGCCACGGCUAACUACGUG
rnacentral:rRNA from 1 species